AGCGAACGCUGGCGGCAGGCCUAACACAUGCAAGUCGAACGAACUCUUCGGAGUUAGUGGCGGACGGGUGAGUAACACGUGGGAACGUGCCUUUUGGUUCGGAAUAACUCAGGGAAACUUGUGCUAAUACCGAAUGUGCCCUUCGGGGGAAAGAUUUAUCGCCAUUAGAGCGGCCCGCGUCUGAUUAGCUAGUUGGUGUGGUAACGGCUCACCAAGGCGACGAUCAGUAGCUGGUCUGAGAGGAUGACCAGCCACACUGGGGCUGAGACACGGCCCAGACUCCUACGGGAAGCAGCAGUGGGGAAUCUUGCGCAAUGGGCGAAAGCCUGACGCAGCCAUGCCGCGUGAAUGAUGAAGGUCUUAGGAUUGUAAAAUUCUUUCACCGGGGACGAUAAUGACGGUACCCGGAGAAGAAGCCCCGGCUAACUUCGUG
rnacentral:rRNA from 1 species